rnacentral:rRNA from 1 species
GACGAACGCUGGCGGCGUGCUUAACACAUGCAAGUCGAACGCUGAAGCCCAGCUUUUGUUGGGUGGAUGAGUGGCGAACGGGUGAGUAACACGUGAGUAACCUGCCCCCUUCUUUGGGAUAACGCCCGGAAACGGGUGCUAAUACUGGAUAUUCACUGGUCUUCGCAUGGGGGCUGGUGGAAAGGGUUUUUCUGGUGGGGGAUGGGCUCGCGGCCUAUCAGCUUGUUGGUGGGGUGAUGGCCUACCAAGGCUUUGACGGGUAGCCGGCCUGAGAGGGUGACCGGUCACAUUGGGACUGAGAUACGGCCCAGACUCCGACGGGAGGCAGCAGUGGGGAAUAUUGCACAAUGUGCGCAAGCCUGAUGCAGCGACGCCGCGUGAGGGAUGGAGGCCUUCGGGUUGUGAACCUCUUUCGCUCAUGGUCAAGCCGCAACAAUGGUUGUGGUGAGGGUAGUGGGUAAAGAAGCGCCGGCUAACUACGUG